CAGUCGCCACGGUAAUACGUAGGGUGCAAGCGUUAAUCGGAAUUACUGGGCGUAAAGCGUGCGCAGGCGGUUCGCUAAGACAGAUGUGAAAUCCCCGGGCUUAACCUGGGAACUGCAUUUGUGACUGGCGGGCUAGAGUAUGGCAGAGGGGGGUAGAAUUCCACGUGUAGCAGUGAAAUGCGCAGAGAUGUGGAGGAAUACCGAUGGCGAAGGCAGCCCCCUGGGCCAAUACUGACGCUCAUGCACGAAAGCGUGGGGAGCAAACAGGAUUAGAGACCCGAGUAGUCCCUGUCUCUUAUAC
rnacentral:rRNA from 1 species